AGGGUUUAGGGAAUACGUUUUCAUUCCUUUUCCUCAUGCUGCGUGCGAAACCGAAGUGCAAUCGACCUCUAAUUCCACUUCAAGAUUUCUAGUCAGAGUUUUAAUCAAGAAAUGGGGGUGAUGAUAAAUUGAUAAUUCCUCAGAAGGCCACACAAGUUUUGAUUAUUCUUCUAAUCUUCUGUAGCUAGCAACGAAAAUGUCGAGGCCGAGAGCUUCAAUCCAUGCUCGUAAGUGCUAAGGUUAAUCACUUAAUCUAAACUCUACCUGCAGUGCAUUUUGUUGCAAAUUUAGUUUCUGUUUGCGAAUUUAGUUUCUUGCAAUUUGCUACUUAAUUUCUUGUGAUUUGGGUGUUUAGCAAUCAUCAUCUGUGUUUGGAACUUCUGGAAGUGAAGCAUGAGAAAGGAGUCAGAUUUGAAUUUUCAGAAGAGCAUCUUUUCAGAUUAUUCUACCUUUCUUGCAUAAGUUCUUGGUCGAAUUAACUGUUUUUUUUUUUGGUCCUAAAUGGAUGUUGUUAUUGGAUUUGCAAAAUGGAAAAUGGAAAUUUGUUCUUCAAACUCACAUUUUUUUUGGGACAGCUACGGAUGUCAUUUUGAUUUUGUAUUGUAUUGUUUCUGUUACUCUGUAACGCUGAAAUUUGCAUAAAUAAUAAAAAAUGUUAUUGUAUUUGCAAAAUGGAAAAUGAAAAUGGGAAUUUGUUCAACAUAUCUUUAUCCAAGAAUGUGUGUCCUACUUGAACUUGCAUCACUGAUGAAACUAGUGAACUGCUUUAAAAAUCUUGUAUUGUUUCUAUGGUGCUCGAAUUUUUAUUUCAGGCAUGUAAGUUGCAACGGUGGAAUACAAAGCUGAUUUUCUUAUCAGUUCUGUUUUUCUUUAUGUUUUUGAAGUUGUACCGUGAAUGAUUGUGUCAUCUGUUAAGAAAAUGGCUUGUGAGAUUCUUGAAAUGUUGACUGAAGGGCUGAAGAUUCAACCAAGAAAUACAUUCAGUAAGCUUCUUAUGGAUGAAGAGAGUGGCUCUUUAUACAGGCUGAAUCAUUACUUUCCAAGCCCUGAUGAUCAGUUUAAGGGUAGAAAUUUGAUUGGUUUUAGUGAAUACACUGACACAAAUCAUUCCUGUUUUGAGAUCUAACAACACUUUUGGCCUUCAAAUCUCAUUUAAAGAUGGCAAUUGGAUUUCAAUCCCUCCUUAUCAAAAUUCAUUCUUCAUUAAUGUUGGUGACUCAUUACAGGGGGCCUAAUUUAUGGACUCCGUCUCGGACCCCAAUAAUCACAAGACUGGCCCUGAUAGCGAUUCUGGCCGACCACCACCACCGAUCAACCCGCAUCUCUCUUCCAUCGCGUACCAGCAGUUCGACGUGCCUCCCCACUCUCUUUCUCAAUUUUGUGCAUAAGUUCCCUCAAUCCAUGUGUUGCAAAAAGAUGUGCUCUUAUAUUAUUGGCAAUUUCUGAUGCAAGAGGGUUUGAUGGAGUGGUUGGAGGAGCAGGUGUAUUGGAAGAGGAAUAAUGGGUGGGUUCAUGUAUUCAUAUGUCAGGAUCCCAAUUCUUAUACAAGGUUAUUGAUAGGGUGAGGAAUGGGGUGCUCUUGGUUUUAGAUUUUGGGAGGUUGGGUCGCAAUCAGGCAUCACUUGUUAAGGAUGUGAUCUUGCCAUAUUCACAUCUCAUUAAUACCUACAAUGAGAAUGUAGGGGUUGAGAAUCACAAGUCGCUGCUGUUCUUUAUGGAGAAUUCGAUAUAGAAAAGGGGUAAUAAUCUUUUUGCAAUUAAUAUCAUUUUCCUUUUCCGGCAGUAUAUAUGAGUUUGUUUAUUUUGGUAAUGAGGUUAUCAGUUAGAAAUUAUGAUAUACUCUUGCAACUUGUGAAAUUCUGUAUCCAUGGAUUGCCAUGUUCUCUUAAGUUCACUAAUUGGUAAUAUAACAAAUAAUAAGGUACAAAGACCACUUCUUUAAUUUCUAGCUUUUGGGAAUAUAGACUGGAUCCUCCAAGGUACGUGGAUUUAUUGCUUUGUUAGUCGGGCUGCUUUUAUUGUCUAUUAGUUGGGAUCGAAUCGAAUGCUUUCCUUUUUCUUCUAUGAAUGUUGACAAGUUCGGGUUUUCAAUGUUUUCUCGUGGGAUUGAGUGAGAAUUUGGCCUAUGUUGCAUUACUUUGAGGUGAAUAUUAUUUCAAAGAAUAGGCCAUAUAUUUGUAUCUCGAAGUUGAUUUGAUUACCCUGUGAAAGGAAAAUUACUGGAAAUAGAAUGUGUUUUCUAUUCUCGUUCAA